UCUUGGAUGAGAUCACAGCCAUAGAUUCUUAGUGUAGUUUCAGUUGCUUCAUCUAUGCCAUCUUUACUUGACGGUGAGUUCUUUAGCUGCUCAUCUGUUAAGUAGAAGUUGUCAAUCGCGGUAUAGAUCAUUAUUUCCUUAACCACCUUCUAUUAACUAAGAAAUCAAAUCUUCAAGUUAAGUUUAGGGUU